AGCAGGGAAGGCUCCUCUCUGUUAUCUGCAGCCUCUACAGGGGCUGCUCACCUGUGUCUGGAGGAUCUGCGUCCGGGGUGACUCACACACGUGGCUGGCGGUCGGUGCUGCCUGGUGGCCGAGCUGUCUGUUGGCCUGAGCUGUCCAGCAUGCGCUGCACCCAGAGGUGAAGCCAGAUUGCCGGAUGCCCCCAGAGCUCUCUUCUCCUUCCUCCCACAGUGGCAGUGUUUCAGCUGGAUGCAUGACUGCCAAAAAGGUCAACAUUUCCCAGCUUCCCUUGCAGCAAAGUGAAGCCAUGCAACUUACUUCUGGCCCAUGAGACGUGAUCCCAAGUGGAAAGGGCAGGACUGGACUUCCUCUUACCACCGCGAGGAAAGCGCACACCAGGGAGCCUUAGUCCCAUCAGCCUGGGAAUGAAGGCAAAGGAAGACCUGAGUGUGAUCGGAAGUCCGGGGUCCUGGCCUGG